AGUCGAGCGGUAGAGAGAAGCUUGCUUCUCUUGAGAGCGGCGGACGGGUGAGUAAUACCUAGGAAUCUGCCUGAUAGUGGGGGAUAACGUUCGGAAACGGACGCUAAUACCGCAUACGUCCUACGGGAGAAAGCAGGGGACCUUCGGGCCUUGCGCUAUCAGAUGAGCCUAGGUCGGAUUAGCUAGUUGGUGAGGUAAUGGCUCACCAAGGCUACGAUCCGUAACUGGUCUGAGAGGAUGAUCAGUCACACUGGAACUGAGACACGGUCCAGACUCCUACGGGAGGCAGCAGUGGGGAAUAUUGGACAAUGGGCGAAAGCCUGAUCCAGCCAUGCCGCGUGUGUGAAGAAGGUCUUCGGAUUGUAAAGCACUUUAAGUUGGGAGGAAGGACAGUAAAUUAAUACUUUGCUGUUUUGACGUUACCGACAGAAUAAGCACCGGCUAACUCUGUGCCAGCAGCCGCGGUAAUACAGAGGGUGCAAGCGUUAAUCGGAAUUACUGGGCGUAAAGCGCGCGUAGGUGGUUUGUUAAGUUGAAUGUGAAAUCCCCGGGCUCAACCUGGGAACUGCAUCCAAAACUGGCAAGCUAGAGUAUGGUAGAGGGUAGUGGAAUUUCCUGUGUAGCGGUGAAAUGCGUAGAUAUAGGAAGGAACACCAGUGGCGAAGGCGACUACCUGGACUGAUACUGACACUGAGGUGC
rnacentral:rRNA from 1 species